rnacentral:rRNA from 1 species
GACGUAGGGGGCGAGCGUUGUCCGGAAUUACUGGGCGUAAAGCGCGCGCAGGCGGUCCGCUAAGUCUCGUGUGAAAUCCUCCGGCCCAACCGGGGAACGCCGCGUGAUACUGGCGGGCUUGAGGGCGGUAGAGGGUGAUGGAAUUCCCGGUGUGGCGGUGAUAUGCGUAGAUAUCGGGAGGAACGCCAGUGGCGAAGGCGGUCCCCUGGGCGGUCCCUGACGCCGAGACGCGAAAGCUGGGGGAGCGAACGGG